UAUUUUGUCUCUGAAAACCAUGUCCUCUGGUGUGACACUAUAUGUUGAUUUUAAAUCGGGAAAUUCCACAGACAACUUUAUUUAACUUAAGGACCCAUUUCAAGUAGCUGUUACUGAAGCCCCCUGUGAAGCUUGCAACAUGUGUACAUGACAGAAAGAAUUGAGGGAGAAACAUGACUGGGAAAGAGAGAACACGCAAAUAUAGACAGAAAAUUAACAGGGAUCCAAGGAAAAGGGAGGAGAUCCUACGAGAACGACGCAGAAAAUAUCAUGAAAAGAAGGCUGAGGGGAGAGUGGAAACCUUCAACAUCAACUUGCUGCCACAAAGAAAGCAGAAUGAAUUUCGCAAAAAAUGGAAAGAAUCCAAAAAAAGAUGCAGGGCAAGAGAAAAGGCUCUCAGUGCUAUUCUGAACACUACGCCAGAGUCUCCAGAAAGCUCACCAGAGGAGGCAGUGGCUGAAUUACCAGCAGAACCUCCAGUCUUACCUUCUCCACUUCCUAAUGUGAGUAAACCUACUUCUCCAUCACCAGGGGCCACACCAACGAGAUGGACGAACCAAACAAAAAGAAUGAAAAAAGAGCUAGCAAGACUGCAGAGAGAAAAUAAAACUCUGAAAGAAUGCAUCAAAACUGAAACACAAAAAACAAAGCGAAUCAGAAAAAAAAUGCAACGCCUAACUCAAAAUACGCCAAAAAGGCAGAAGAAAAUUAGAAUGCCAAAAGAGAAAAAAAUAGUCACUGACAAGAGACAAGAAGUUGUAUCCUUCUUGACAAGAGAUGAAAACAGUAGACUUCUGGCAGGAAAGAAAGACACUAUUGGCAGAGUGAUCAAGAGACAGCGAAGAGUUCUCACAAAAUCUCUGCAAGACCUCCACAAUGACUACUAUAAAGACCCCACUAGGAAACAUUCAAUGUCUUACAGACAGUUUGUGAGAUAUAGGCCAUUUUAUAUUACAGAGGCAAAAGCAACUGA